UGCCACCUGCAACUCAUAAGUGGUACAUCCUGCCCAGUGAUAAUAUUAAACGGCCGCGGUAUCCUGACCGUGCAAAGGUAGCAUAAUCAUUUGCCUAUUAAUUGUAGGCUGGUAUGAAUGGACAAACGCGGAUCUAUCUGUCUCCUUUAAGUAAGUAAAAAUUUAUCUCUAAGUGAAGAAGCUUGGAUAAAAUCGUAGGACAAGAAGACCCUAUAGAGCUUUACCUUAAAACUUAAAAAAAAAGAAAAACGGUUCGGUUGGGGCGACCAAGGAGCAUAAAACAUCCUAUACAUGCUUAGAUUCACAAAUCUCUAAAAAGAUCCUUAAUCAAGAUCAUAGAAUCCAGCUACCUUAGGGAUAACAGGCUAAUUCCUCUAGAGAGCUCAUAUUGACAGAGGAGGUUGGCACCUCGAUGUUGGCUUAGGAUUUCUUUAUGAUGCAGCAGUCAUAACCAGAUGGUUUGUUCAACCAUUAAAUUCCU
rnacentral:rRNA from 1 species